rnacentral:rRNA from 1 species
UACAGAGGUCUCAAGCGUUGUUCGGAUUCAUUGGGACGUAAAGGGUGUGUAGGUGGCGCGCUAAGUCGGGUGUGAAAUUUCGGAGCUUAACUCUGAAACUGCAUUCGAUACUGGCGUGCUUGAGGACUGGAGAGGAGACUGGAAUUCAUGGUGUAGCAGUGAAAUGCGUAGAGAUCAUGAGGAAGACCAGUGGCGAAGGCGGGUCUCUGGACAGUUCCUGACACUGAGACACGAAGGCCAGGGGAGCAAACGGG